ACUUGUACCGACUGGAUGAGCAGCGAACGGGUGAGUAACGCGUGGGGAAUCUGCCUUUGAGCGGGGGACAACAUUUGGAAACGAAUGCUAAUACCGCAUAAAAACUUUAAACACAAGUUUUAAGUUUGAAAGAUGCAAUUGCAUCACUCAAAGAUGAUCCCGCGUUGUAUUAGCUAGUUGGUGAGGUAAAGGCUCACCAAGGCGAUGAUACAUAGCCGACCUGAGAGGGUGAUCGGCCACAUUGGGACUGAGACACGGCCCAAACUCCUACGGGAGGCAGCAGUAGGGAAUCUUCGGCAAUGGACGAAAGUCUGACCGAGCAACGCCGCGUGAGUGAAGAAGGUUUUCGGAUCGUAAAACUCUGUUGGUAGAGAAGAACGUUGGUGAGAGUGGAAAGCUCAUCAAGUGACGGUAACUACCCAGAAAGGGACGGCUAACUACGUGCCAGCAGCCGCGGUAAUACGUAGGUCCCGAGCGUUGUCCGGAUUUAUUGGGCGUAAAGCGAGCGCAGGUGGUUUAUUAAGUCUGGUGUAAAAGGCAGUGGCUCAACCAUUGUAUGCAUUGGAAACUGGUAGACUUGAGUGCAGGAGAGGAGAGUGGAAUUCCAUGUGGUAGCGGGUGG
rnacentral:rRNA from 1 species